CAGUAGCCGCGGUAAUACGAAGGGGGCUAGCGUUGCUCGGAAUUACUGGGCGUAAAGGGAGCGUAGGCGGAUCGUUUAGUCAGGGGUGAAAUCCCGGGGCUCAACCUCGGAACUGCCUUUGAUACUGGCGAUCUUGAGUAUGGGAGAGGUGUGUGGAACUCCGAGUGUAGAGGUGAAAUUCGUAGAUAUUCGGAAGAACACCAGUGGCGAAGGCGACACACUGGCCCAUUACUGACGCUGAGGCUCGAAAGCGUGGGGAGCAAACAGGAUUAGAUACCCCAGUAGUCCCUGUCUCUUAUAC
rnacentral:rRNA from 1 species